rnacentral:rRNA from 1 species
UACGGAGGGGGCUAGCGUUGUUCGGAAUUACUGGGCGUAAAGCGCACGUAGGCGGCUAUUCAAGUCAGAGGUGAAAGCCUGGAGCUCAACUCCAGAACUGCCUUUGAAACUAGGUAGCUAGAAUCACGGAGAGGUGGGUGGAAUUCCGAGUGUAGAGGUGAAAUUCGUAGAUAUUCGGAAGAACACCAGUGGCGAAGGCGGCCCACUGGACGUGUAUUGACGCUGAGGCGCGACAGCGUGGGGAGCAAACAGG